GGUUAAGCGACUAAGCGUACACGGUGGAUGCCCUGGCAGUCAGAGGCGAUGAAGGACGUGCUAAUCUGCGAAAAGCGUCGGUAAGGUGAUAUGAACCGUUACAGCCGGCGAUGUCCGAAUGGGGAAACCCAGUGCAAUUCGUUGCACUAUCGUUAACUGAAUACAUAGGUUAACGAGGCGAACCGGGGGAACUGAAACAUCUAAGUACCCCGAGGAAAAGAAAUCAACCGAGAUUCCCCCAGUAGCGGCGAGCGAACGGGGAGCAGCCCAGAGUCUGAAUCAGCUUGUGUGUUAGUGGAACGGUCUGGAAAGUCCGACGGUACAGGGUGAUAGUCCCGUACACCAAAAUGCACAGGUUGUGAACUCGAAGAGUAGGGCGGGACACGUGGUAUCCUGUCUGAAUAUGGGGGGACCAUCCUCCAAGGCUAAAUACUCCUGACUGACCGAUAGUGAACCAGUACCGUGAGGGAAAGGCGAAAAGAACCCCGGCGAGGGGAGUGAAAAAGAACCUGAAACCGUGUACGUACAAGCAGUGGGAGCACCUUCGGGUGUGACUGCGUACCUUUUGUAUAAUGGGUCAGCGACUUAUAUUCUGUAGCAAGGUUAACCGUAUAGGGGAGCCGCAGGGAAACCGAGUCUUAACUGGGCGUUAAGUUGCAGGGUAUAGACCCGAAACCCGGUGAUCUAGCCAUGGGCAGGUUGAAGGUUGGGUAACACUAACUGGAGGACCGAACCGACUAAUGUUGAAAAAUUAGCGGAUGACUUGUGGCUGGGGGUGAAAGGCCAAUCAAACCGGGAGAUAGCUGGUUCUCCCCGAAAGCUAUUUAGGUAGCGCCUCGUGAAUUCAUCUUCGGGGGUAGAGCACUGUUUCGGCUAGGGGGUCAUCCCGACUUACCAACCCGAUGCAAACUACGAAUACCGAAGAAUGUUAUCACGGGAGACACACGGCGGGUGCUAACGUCCGUCGUGAAGAGGGAAACAACCCAGACCGCCAGCUAAGGUCCCAAAGUCAUGGUUAAGUGGGAAACGAUGUGGGAAGGCACAGACAGCCAGGAUGUUGGCUUAGAAGCAGCCAUCAUUUAAAGAAAGCGUAAUAGCUCACUGGUCGAGUCGGCCUGCGCGGAAGAUGUAACGGGGCUAAACCAUGCACCGAAGCUGCGGCAGCGACACUAUGUGUUGUUGGGUAGGGGAGCGUUCUGUAAGCCUGCGAAGGUG
rnacentral:rRNA from 1 species